UACGGAGGGAGCUAGCGUUGUUCGGAAUUACUGGGCGUAAAGCGCACGUAGGCGGCUUUGUAAGUUAGAGGUGAAAGCCCGGGGCUCAACCCCGGAAUUGCCUUUAAGACUGCAUCGCUUGAAUCCAGGAGAGGUGAGUGGAAUUCCGAGUGUAGAGGUGAAAUUCGUAGAUAUUCGGAAGAACACCAGUGGCGAAGGCGGCUCACUGGAUCUGGGUA
rnacentral:rRNA from 1 species